rnacentral:tRNA from 1 species
GUCGGAUUGACGCAACUGGGAGCGUACCUGCCUUACAAGCAGGAUGUUAGGGGUUCAAGUCCCUUAUCCGACACCA